rnacentral:tRNA from 1 species
GGCCUAUUAGCUCAGUUGGUUAGAACGUCUUAGCAUGCGAAGGUCGUAGGUUCGAGACCUGCAUAGGCCU